GUAGGUGGCAAGCGUUGUCCGGGAUUAUUGGGCGUAAAGCGCGCGCAGGCGGUUCUUUAAGUCUGAUGUGAAAGCCCACGGCUCAACCGUGGAGGGUCAUUGGAAACUGGAGAACUUGAGUACAGAAGAGGAAAGCGGAAUUCCACGUGUAGCGGUGAAAUGCGUAGAGAUGUGGAGGAACACCAGUGGCGAAGGCGGCUUUCUGGUCUGUAACUGACGCUGAGGCGCGAAAGCGUGGGGGAGCAAACAGGAUUAGAUACCCUGGUAGUCCACGCCGUAAACGAUGAGUGCUAAGUGUUAGGGGGUUUCCGCCCCUUAGUGCUGCAGCUAACGCAUUAAGCACUCCGCCUGGGAGUACGGCCGCAAGGCUG
rnacentral:rRNA from 1 species